GAUGAACGCUAGUGACAGGCUUAACACAUGCAAGUCGAGGGGCAGCACAGGGUAGCAAUACUUGGGUGGCGACCGGCGCACGGGUGAGUAACGCGUAUGCAACUUACCUAUCAGAGGGGGAUAGCCCGGCGAAAGUCGGAUUAAUACCCCAUAAAACAGGGGUCCCGCAUGGGAAUAUUUGUUAAAGAUUCAUCGCUGAUAGAUAGGCAUGCGUUCCAUUAGGCAGUUGGCGGGGUAACGGCCCACCAAACCGACGAUGGAUAGGGGUUCUGAGAGGAAGGUCCCCCACAUUGGUACUGAGACACGGACCAAACUCCUACGGGAGGCAGCAGUGAGGAAUAUUGGUCAAUGGCCGAGAGGCUGAACCAGCCAAGUCGCGUGAAGGAAGAAGGAUCUAUGGUUUGUAAACUUCUUUUAUAGGGGAAUAAAGUGGAGGACGUGUCCUUUUUUGUAUGUACCCUAUGAAUAAGCAUCGGCUAACUCCGUG
rnacentral:rRNA from 1 species